CGAUAUAUUUGAUCGACUACAUAACUGACGGAAGAAGAAAAGCUGAAAAGAGAGUAUCACCUUUAAGGACCCUGAUGAUAACUAUACCUACUGAUCACGCAUUACUCCUUUCUAUGGGGCUCGGUACUUUUUUCUUUUCUCUCGCUUUGAUAUUUACUUCAUGAUGAAAUGAUGAUGGACUGAAUUGAUUG
rnacentral:snoRNA from 1 species